UGACGUUCGUCACCGCUGAUCUAUACCAUCGAUGUAUAUCAACAUUUCACUCAGCUCUAAAAAUGCUUGACUGAAUCAAAUUCUAUCCCAGCCUCUGAAAAGACCAUGUGAAGUUUCCCGGCUACCCAUCUGAGGGCUUUUGUCCUACCCGAAAAAGUGGCAGUGCCCCCCUCUUACUCCCCCGGGCAAAGAUUUGGGUUUAAUCUGGCAUGGAGAGGGGUGAGGAGGAUGCCAGCUCCAUUCAGCCCGCUGAUGUCAUGCGUAUGCCCACCGUGGGAGAGCAGCGGAUGGACUUGGAGGGUGGCAAAGACCCAUUCUGCUCUCACUCAAUCCGCUCUCUAUCGGGAUGAAUCACUCUUUCAGGAAUGGCAGCCCGCUCUAUUACAACCUUUUGGCCCUUCUUCAAUCAAGCACACACACACACACACACACACACAUACACUGCUCUCAUCAACAGCUUAUAACAUAAUAAAUUGAUAAAACUGGAGUUAAAUAUAGAUUAAAUAUACUGA